AUUGAACGCUGGCGGCAGGCCUAACACAUGCAAGUCGAACGAGUGGCGGACGGGUGAGUAAUGUAUGGGAAACUGCCCGAUGGAGGGGGAUAACUACUGGAAACGGUGGCUAAUACCGCAUACUAUCGGAUGUGCCCAGAUGGGAUUAGCUAGUAGGUGGGGUAAAGGCUCACCUAGGCGACGAUCCCUAGCUGGUCUGAGAGGAUGACCAGCCACACUGGAACUGAGACACGUUCCAGACUCCUACGGGAGGCAGCAGUGGGGAAUAUUGCACAAUGGGCGCAAUCCUGAUGCAGCCAGGCCGCGUGUAUGAAGAAGGCCUUCGGGUUGUAAAGUACUUUCAGCGGGGAGGCGUUACCCGCAGAAGAAGCACCGGCUAACUCCGUGCCAGCAGCCGCGGUAAUUC
rnacentral:rRNA from 1 species